CCUCUCCGUGAUGAGGAAUUUACCUCCUUUCUCCUCAAUGGCCUUGAUGAAGACUAUGAAGCCCUUGUGGAGAACAUCAAUGGGCGGGACACCCCUCUUCCGCCUCGCGAGCUCUAUGCUCGCCUCCUCAACUCUGAGC